rnacentral:tRNA from 1 species
GGCCGCUUAGUGUAGUGGUUAUCACGUAUCGUUUACACCGAUAAGGUCGCUGGAUCGAGCCCGGCAGUGGUCA